CCUGCGAUUAAAUGAAACUUCCAGAAACAACCAGACCUGUUUCCCGUCGUAUAUAAGAGAGGAAACAGCGGUGGUUCAUCAGUCUGUGGAGGGGGAGGACGAAGAAGAAGAAGAAGAUGGCGGUUUAUCAUCUCACCUAACGUCCGUGAAGCAAAGAGCCGUUUCCAUAGAAACAGACGUAAAACGUCCCAUCAUGAGGAGCAGACGGCCGGACUUAGACGUUAAA